GGGCGGAGCGUGUAGAGGAGGAAGUGGAGAUGAGCUGGGGCUGGGGGGUGGGGCUGGACCCACCAAAUUUUCCCCGUGGGUGCUCCAGCCCCGGAGCACCCACGGAGUCGGCACCUAAGGCACCACUUUUGGAUAAUGUGCUCAGAGGAAGCGGCCACUCCCCUGCUCCUCACCAGCUAUACUACUGCGCUCUAGGCCCAUAAAAUGGAAGCGUCGUGGGAAGGGCCAUUCACAGUUCAAGAGCGCCUGGGAGCUGUUAACUAUCUCAUAGCAUCCCCCACCUCAAACCUAAAGUGUACCAUGUUAAUUCUCUAAAGCCCUUUUAUUCCAGAGAAUUAAAGGUUUGUCAGUUUACAGCCCAGGGAGGAGAUGAUGCUGAAUGGCCUGAAGGUGUCUACUACAAAGGAAAAAGUGAUGGUGGCAUGGAAGAGGUGAACCUCUCCAUGCCCUUGGACAUAUGCAGUGACAGCAGAUCAAGGCGCUGUGCAAUAGCUUCGUACCAAUGUUCUCAGCCACUCCAGGAUGGACCGAACAGGAAUACCACUCCAUUGACACAGAGCUCUAGGAAAAAAAUUCACAGCCAGUGUGGAGGAGGCUGUCCAGCACUGUCUAUGAUUUGGGGGGGCAUCAUAAAUAUACAGUUAAGGGUAGCGUAAAAUACCUCCUUUACCUGUAAAGGGUUAAGAAGCUCAUAUAACCUGGUUGGCACCUGACCAAAAGGACCAAUGAAGGGAGAAGAUACUUUCAAAUCUGUGGGGGAAUGUAGUGAGGCGGACUGGUCCCCAGGCGCCCCGGAGGACGAGGAGCCCAGCCGGAGGCCGGACUGGGCGGAGCUACGGGGCUCUGGGCCUGCCCCACAAAGGGUCAAGCACCGGCCCGGAAGUACAAAGGCGGGCCCUCCAGGCUCAGUAAGGCCCCAGCCGUCAGCAAGGCCAGACAUCCACGACCGAGCUCCCACUGGGGAGGCCGCAGAAGGCAGCGGCUGACCCAGCCUCCCCCUCGCUCGCUACCCGGAGGAAGACUGGCCAAGCCUGCCCCGCUCCCGCUACCCGGAGGAGGAGUGGCCGAGCCUGCCCCGCUCCCGCUACCCGGAGGAGGACUGGCCGAGCCUGCCUCGCUCCCGCUACCCGGAGGAGGAGCCGAGCCUGUCGGUGGCCGCCAACCCCAAGGACCCGCUGAGCCCACCCGAGCACACUUUCCCUGAGGAGCCGAUGGUGGUUGAACCCUCUGCCGAAACCACAGUAACUCAGUUCAAUUCCCCAUGUUGGAACCAGAGAGAAGCCAUGCUUUGAGAUGGAGUUUCACUGGGUCUGGAUGGAGAGUCAGGCCCUUGUUCUGGGACAGGAGGUCCGUCCAGAAAGGCAGCGGUUGGAGGCACAGACUGCUAGAUGUGAGAGUAUCAAAGAGAGCACUGCCAUGGAGUUCCGUCUGCAGCCGAGGACGGUUGAAAAGGAACUGAGUGGACGGUCGGAGGAGUGCAUGCUACAGGAGGUGCCAACGGCUGCAUGAGAGGACUCCUGUGCAUGCCCUUCCCCCGACUGAGUACUGCUGCGAGAAAUCUCUGAUCUCCGGCGCAGGGACACACUGACACCUAGAGUGGAGCACGCACAGGGACACCACUCGAAGAAGAACUGACAUUUUCACUCACAUACAUUUUUGUAGAUAUUAAAUUAUUUCAGUCAGCACGGCCUCUCCUGUCCCUAUUUAUUACCUUAUCCCCAAACAGCUGAAGCAAGUCCUGGAUCCUUAGUGUAAUGCAGAGGGAUGAAGGAGGCAGCCACCUUUGACAUGGAGAUUACAGUACCAAUUACAUAAAUGGAAGCUACUUACUGGUGAAGAGAUGGUCCUGGCGCAGAGCUUUCACUCAGUCUUUUCUGUAGGCAAAGGAAGAUCAUCAUCUUUGUGACAUUAACCCAAUGGAAUCCUUGUUCCUUUGCAGGGCCAGCACUGGACACAUCUCAGUAUUGUAAAUGGCCACCACUGAUACUAACAAGGAAGUGCUCUG